GAUGUGAAGGCCCACGGAUCAACCGUGGAGGGUAAUUGGAAACUGGGGAACUUGAGUGCAGAAGAGGAGAGUGGAAUUCCAUGUGUAGCGGUGAAAUGCGUAGAUAUAUGGAGGAACACCAGUGGCGAAGGCGACUUACUGGUCUGUGAUUGACGCUGAGGCUCGAAAGCGUGGGUAGCGAACAGG
rnacentral:rRNA from 1 species